AGAGUUUGAUCAUGGCUCAGAACGAACGCUGGCGGCAGGCCUAACACAUGCAAGUCGAGCGCCCCGCAAGGGGAGCGGCGGACGGGUGAGUAACACGUGGGAAUUUUCCUCAAGGUACGGAACAACUCAGGGAAACUUGGGCUAAUACCGUAUGAUGCAGAGAUGCCAAAGAUUUAUCGCCUUGGGAUAAGCCCGCGUCAGAUUAGGUAGUUGGUGAGGUAACGGCUCACCAAGCCUGUGAUCUGUAGCUGGUCUGAGAGGACGAUCAGCCACAUUGGGACUGAGACACGGCCCAAACUCCUACGGGAGGCAGCAGUGGGGAAUCUUGCGCAAUGGGCGAAAGCCUGACGCAGCCAUGCCGCGUGAAUGAUGAAGGUCUUAGGAUUGUAAAGUUCUUUCGCUCGUGACGAUGAUGACGGUAACGAGAGAAGAGCCCCGCUCCC
rnacentral:rRNA from 1 species